UUUCCGGUGCCUCAUUAGCAUAACCCCGCCCCCCGCGAUCACGUGCCCCUCGGCCCGCGCUCCGCCCUCCUCAUUUGCAUCCCGUCUGCCGAGCCCCCUCCCCGUCACGUGACGCAUCGCCCCUCUCCGCGCGCCCCCGCUCGCCAUUGGCUCCGCCCCGCGUCACGUGGCUCCGCGCUUCCGCUUCCGGCUGCGGCUGAGCCACGAGCGGGAGGGAGAUGGGGCUGCAGGUACGGGGAGGGUUGGGGGAAAAUGUGGGGUGUUGGGUGGGGAAUGGGGGAAAAUGGGGGGAUUUGGGGAGGGGGAAAUGGGGAAAAAUGGGGGGAAUUGAGGGGGGGAUUUUGGGGCAAAACGAUGCAAAUUUGGGGGGAAUUUUGGGGGAAAUUCUGGGGAUUUUGGGGCUUGGUUGGCGGCGGCUUUGGGGUUUUAUUUUGGGGUCAAUUUGAAGGAUUUUGAGGCUUCGUUUUGGGGGAAAUUGGAGGGUUUUUGGGCAAAUUUUGAAGAUUUGGGGUUCUGGUUUUGGUGGUUUUUGGGGUUUCAUUUUGGGGCAAAUUUUGAGGAUUUUGGGGUUUCAUUUCUGGUGGUUUUUAGGUUUCGUUUUGGGUCAAAUUUGGAGGAUUUUGGGGUUUCGUUUGUGGUGGUUUUUGGGGUUUCAUUUUGGGGUAAACUUGGAGGAUUUUGGGGUCUCAUUUUGGGUCAAAUUUGGAGGUUUUUGGGGUUUCAUUUUGGGUCAAAUUUCACAGAUUUUGGGGUUUCAUUUCUGGUGUGUUUUGGGUUUUAUUUUGGGUGAAAUUUCACGGAUUUUGGGUUUCAUUUCUGGAGGUUUUUGGGUUUCGUUUUGGGGUAAACUCAGAGGAUUUGGGGGUCUCAUUUUGGGUCAAAUUUUGAGGAUUUUAGGGUUUCAUUUCUGGAGGUUUUUGGGUUUCCUUUUGGGUGAAAUUUCAAGGAUUCGGGGGCUUCAUUUUGGGGCAAAUUUUGAGGAUUUUGGGGUUGGUUUUGGGGCAAAUUUCGAGGAUUUUGGGGUUUCAUUUGUGGUGGUUUUUGCCCCCUCCCC
rnacentral:lncRNA from 1 species